UGUAGCUCUGUUGGUUGGGUCGGGUCGCUUGUCGGAGGUAGCAAGGGAAUAAAAGAGGAGACGGAGGGCGCUUGGGAGCGGCGGAGGUGGUUGCGGCCCGCUAAGGCCGAUGAAGGCCGUCGGGAGCGGCUUCGCGUCGUGUGGGUGCUCGAGAGGAGCGCUGCCAAGAAGGAAGGGAGACCGUUUUAGACGAGGAGCGCCGUCGUUCGCGAGCGCGUGCUGGGGAGAAGCGCCGAUCCCAAAGCCGACGCAAGUUGAGGCCGCGCCAAACGAUGAAUUAAAAGUUUUUUAGUACGCAAACAUAGUGGUAGGAUACCUUGGUGCUUCGGCCUAGGUUACUAAAGUCUCUUGUAAAUGAUACAAAUACCUAGUGAUGUACACUAGACGAUCUUGUUCGAUGGCUUCGUGAUCUUGACGAGAGAAACUACCGUAACUUCUUUCACCUUAUGCUCGUGGCCGAAUAAGAAGUGCACUCUAUCUACUUGUACUCUUACUCGUUCGAUACCUAGCUAACAUCUCUAGCUCAGUCGUAAGAGUUCUCCCCUUGUGUACCUGUGCUUCGACGCCGCCGCUGCUACUACUAUAGUUGUACCCCGACGUCGCCGCUGCUACUGCUGCUGCUCUAGCUGUAGCAGUGCCCCGACGCCGCCGCCGCUGCUACUGCUGCUGUUCUAGCUGUAGCAGUGCCCCGACGCCGCCGCUGCUGCUGCUGCCGUAGGAGUGCCACUACGCCGCCGCCGCUACUACUGCUGUAGUUGUGGUAGUUUGUGCCCGAACACCUCCGCGGCCGCUACUACUGGAUAUCCACACCACAUAUAACAUAUAUAUAUAUUUAUACAUACAUAAUUAAUAGAUAUCAUCUACACAUACUAACUGACAUACGUAUUUUACACGCAUAAUAUUUUACGUACAUACAC
rnacentral:rRNA from 1 species